rnacentral:rRNA from 1 species
UAAGUAAGCGGAGGAAAAGAAACUAACUAGGAUUCCCUUAGUAAUGGCGAAUGAACAGGGAUCAGCUCAGUGCCUAAUCAGAAUCACUUGUGGUUCUGAAAUGUGGCUUGAAGGCAGUACCAGUGGCAACGCGGACGAAAGUCUCUUGGAAAAGAGCGUCAUAGAGGGUGAGAAUCCCGUGAGUCGUUUGCAGUUUGUCACGUACGGUCUGUGUUCUAACGAGUCGCGUUCCUUGGGAUUGGAGCGUAAACGGGUGGUAAAUUUCAUCCAAAGCAAAAUAUAUACUCGAGACCGAUAGCACAAAAGUACCGUGAGGGAAAGGUGAAAAGAACUUUGAGAAGAGGGUUAAAUAGUGCCUGAAAUCGUUGAGAAGGAAGCGGAUGCCGCCGUUGCAUAUGCUGAUUGUAGGAUUGCUGCAUGCUUGUGUCUUCUGCUACUUAUACACAGACCUAGUCGUGUUGAGCAGUUGUUUGGCACUCGUGCGUGGUGUUUCCUGCUUUCAGCCGUCAGCAUCAUUGGUUGAGCGGAAAUAAUCCUUGGAUGCUAAUUGGUUCGCUAUGCGAAUUGGUUGCUUCUUUGCGAUACUCGCUGCUCGGUCAAUGAGGAAGUGCGUUUGAUGGUCAACGAGUUGUCUCACUGUCAUUACCCUGCGCUUUUCGAUUCGUCGAGUUGCCAGGAUGUGGCUCUAAGAUUGCUCGCACUUAGUAAUCGCGAUGCUGGCUUCCAACGGUUCCUCCGGCCCGUCUUGAAACACGGACCAAGGAGUCUAACGUAUGUGCGAGUGUGUGAGUGGCAAACUUAUACGCGUAAUGAAAGUGAGGCCGUAUGGCCAUGUUGGGGUCACCAACAACCGACCUUGAUCUUCGGUGAAAGGUUUGAGUAUGAGCAUAUCCGUUAGGACCCGAAAGAUGGUGAACUAUGCCUGAGCAGGGUGAAGCCAGGGGAAACUCUGGUGGAGGCUCGUAGCGAUA